GACGAACGCUGGCGGCGUGCUUAACACAUGCAAGUCGAACGAAGUGGCGAACGGGUGAGUAACGCGUAAUCAACCUGCCCAUCAGAGGGGGAAAACAGUUGGAAAAGACUGAUAAUACCGCAUACUGAAGGAGGGGAUUGAGUCUGAUUAGCUAGUUGGAGGGGUAACGCCCCACCAAGGCGAUGAGCAGUAGCCGGUCUGAUAGUAUGACCGGCCACAUUGGGACUGAGACACGGCCCAGACGCCUACGGGAGGCAGCAGUGGGGAAUCUUCCGCAAUGGACGAAAGUCUGACGGAGCAACGCCGCGUGAGUGAUGACGGCCUUCGGGUUGUAAAGCUCUGUUAAUCGGGACGCGGUACCGGAAUAGAAAGCCACGGCUAACUACGUGCCAGCAGCCGAGGUAAUUC
rnacentral:rRNA from 1 species